rnacentral:rRNA from 1 species
AGCGACUAAGCGUACACGGUGGAUGCCCUGGCAGUCAGAGGCGAUGAAGGGCGUGCUAAUCUGCGAUAAGCGCCGGUAAGGUGAUAUGAACCGUUAUAACCGGCGAUACCCGAAUGGGGAAACCCAGUGUGACUCGUCACACUAUCAUUAACUGAAUCCAUAGGUUAAUGAGGCGAACCGGGGGAACUGAAACAUCUAAGUACCCCGAGGAAAAGAAAUCAACCGAGAUUCCCCCAGUAGCGGCGAGCGAACGGGGAGGAGCCCAGAGCCUGAAUCAGCAUGUGUGUUAGUGGAAGCGUCUGGAAAGGCGCGCGAUACAGGGUGACAGCCCCGUACACAAAAGCGCAUGUGCUGUGAGCUCGAUGAGUAGGGCGGGACACGUGGUAUCCUGUCUGAAUAUGGGGGGACCAUCCUCCAAGGCUAAAUACUCCUGACUGACCGAUAGUGAACCAGUACCGUGAGGGAAAGGCGAAAAGAACCCCGGCGAGGGGAGUGAAAAAGAACCUGAAACCGUGUACGUACAAGCAGUGGGAGCCCCACCACCAAAGCAUUUGCUGUACCGCGUUGACGGAGCGAAGCGACGUCAAACCGAUAAAACAGCAGUGUAAAGUGAGCCGCAGGGCGCUUUGCGCGACAGCGCAAAGGCAGGCGGUUUCGCGUAGCGAAAGCGAAUGCUUUGGGGUGGGGUGACUGCGUACCUUUUGUAUAAUGGGUCAGCGACUUAUAUUCUGUAGCAAGGUUAACCGAAUAGGGGAGCCGGAGGGAAACCGAGUCUUAAUUGGGCGUUAAGUUGCAGGGUAUAGACCCGAAACCCGGUGAUCUAGCCAUGGGCAGGUUGAAGGUUGGGUAACACUAACUGGAGGACCGAACCGACUAAUGUUGAAAAAUUAGCGGAUGACCUGUGGCUGGGGGUGAAAGGCCAAUCAAACCGGGAGAUAGCUGGUUCUCCCCGAAAGCUAUUUAGGUAGCGCCUCGUGAAUUCAUCUCCGGGGGUAGAGCACUGUUUCGGCUAGGGGGCCAUCCCGGCUUACCAACCCGAUGCAAACUGCGAAUACCGGAGAAUGUUAUCACGGGAGACACACGGCGGGUGCUAACGUCCGUCGUGAAGAGGGAAACAACCCAGACCGCCAGCUAAGGUCCCAAAGUCAUGGUUAAGUGGGAAACGAUGUGGGAAGGCCCAGACAGCCAGGAUGUUGGCUUAGAAGCAGCCAUCAUUUAAAGAAAGCGUAAUAGCUCACUGGUCGAGUCGGCCUGCGCGGAAGAUGUAACGGGGCUAAACCAUGCACCGAAGCUGCGGCAGCGACACUGUGUGUUGUUGGGUAGGGGAGCGUUCUGUAAGCCUGUGAAGGUGUGUCGUGAGGCAUGCUGGAGGUAUCAGAAGUGCGAAUGCUGACAUAAGUAACGAUAAAGCGGGUGAAAAGCCCGCUCGCCGGAAGACCAAGGGUUCCUGUCCAACGUUAAUCGGGGCAGGGUGAGUCGACCCCUAAGGCGAGGCCGAAAGGCGUAGUCGAUGGGAAACGGGUUAAUAUUCCCGUACUUGGUGUUACUGCGAAGGGGGGACGGAGAAGGCUAUGUUGGCCGGGCGACGGUUGUCCCGGUUUAAGCGUGUAGGUGUGUGUUCCAGGUAAAUCCGGUUCACUUUAACACUGAGGCGUGACGACGAGGCACUACGGUGCUGAAGCAACAAAUGCCCUGCUUCCAGGAAAAGCCUCUAAGCAUCAGGUAACAUCAAAUCGUACCCCAAACCGACACAGGUGGUCAGGUAGAGAAUACCAAGGCGCUUGAGAGAACUCGGGUGAAGGAACUAGGCAAAAUGGUGCCGUAACUUCGGGAGAAGGCACGCUGACACGUAGGUGAAGUGAUUUACUCAUGGAGCUGAAGUCAGUCGAAGAUACCAGCUGGCUGCAACUGUUUAUUAAAAACACAGCACUGUGCAAACACGAAAGUGGACGUAUACGGUGUGACGCCUGCCCGGUGCCGGAAGGUUAAUUGAUGGGGUCAGCGCAAGCGAAGCUCCUGAUCGAAGCCCCGGUAAACGGCGGCCGUAACUAUAACGGUCCUAAGGUAGCGAAAUUCCUUGUCGGGUAAGUUCCGACCUGCACGAAUGGCGUAAUGAUGGCCAGGCUGUCUCCACCCGAGACUCAGUGAAAUUGAACUCGCUGUGAAGAUGCAGUGUACCCGCGGCAAGACGGAAAGACCCCGUGAACCUUUACUAUAGCUUGACACUGAACAUUGAGCCUUGAUGUGUAGGAUAGGUGGGAGGCUUUGAAGUGUGGACGCCAGUCUGCAUGGAGCCGACCUUGAAAUACCACCCUUUAAUGUUUGAUGUUCUAACGUGGACCCGUUACCCGGGUUGCGGACAGUGUCUGGUGGGUAGUUUGACUGGGGCGGUCUCCUCC